GUGUUGUACGAAAGGAAAGAAGGUUAGCACUCCCCUUGGUAAGGAUGGAAGAGGUCCAUGCAUAUGGUUAAGGCACUGCCACCUACUUCAUGGCAUUUAAGCAAGUUUCCUG
rfam:Alligator mississippiensis ScZkoYb_1054.1, whole genome shotgun sequence.